rnacentral:misc_RNA from 1 species
UUUUAGUGUGAACAAGAAACAAAUUUUAUUGUAUUCCAAUACAUUAACUGGAACCCUUCCUACAUCAACUGCUCCGAUUUGAAAUCUUGGUGAAACGAAAAACAAAACCAGUAUCUUACUAACAUGACAGAUUGCACAUAUUAACAGAAUCACAUAAGUUGAAUACACUCCAAAUUCCUAUAUAUCCAAAUGCUCACAUGGAAGCCUUGGAUGAUCCUUGAUGCCACUUAAUAGCUAUGGGACUCCUAACUCUGUGAGUUCCGUCGACUCCACUCAAUUGAUCCAAAACUUUGUGAGCUAAUGCUAGACCAACCCAAACCAGCGCUAGAGAAUGUAAUAUCAUAGGACAAUAUCUGAUUUUCUGCAUUGAACUCGAGCUUACUUGGUGAAACCUUGACCUCUGUAUUUGCAGGAGCAUUCACCUUGACCUCAUAAAUUGCAUUAACAGAACUUCCAACAUUCUUCACUACCCUCUUAUGUGUAACCACAUUGGUGUUAGGCUCAAAAACAACAGAGAAUGAUGGGUAGUUGAGAUUGCCCGGGCUACCCAAUUUUCGAUCACAUACAUCCAAAGUUGCAGUUCCACCAACAAAAACUGCAAUUCUCUUGGAAUCAUACCCAAUUGUGCAAAGAAAUGCAAUAUAAUCACUGGUGUCCAUGUCAUACACCAAUCCAGGAUUAAGAGCACUAUUGGGAUCCACAUGACCAGCUCCAUGAACGAAGGGUGUUGAUUCACUGCCAGUAGCAAGAUCGAGAAUGCUUUUCGCCGGAAUUAUCCAAGUUAUAAGCGGUAGUCACUAGAGCAGAUUUUAUAGCAGCGGGUGACCAAUUCGGGUAUGCCUUUCGAAGCAAAGCAGCGAUUCCACUAACAUGGGGACAUGACAUUGAGGUACCUGAGAUUAUGUUAAACUCAACUCUUCUAGGAUCAAUGUCCAAAUCCGUUGGAGCUGAAGCUCCUGUCCAGCCAGCCAAGAUGUUAACUCCAGGAGCUAUAACAUCAGGCUUCAAAAUCUCCGGUGUCAAAUGGUUUGGACCACGGCUAGAAAAGGCUGCAACUUUAGGAGCAGGCGGUGAAGUCCCAAUUACAGUUCCAUGGAAAACAAUUGUUGCAGUAGGAAAUUGACUCAAUUUGAUAUAUUGUCGAAUCUGAUUUCCAGCAAUUUCGCCUACUAUAGUAGCUGGUAUAAGAUGAGAGUCUGCAAUGAGCUCCUCACCACUAUCUGCAGUGUUUGCCAUUAUCAUUCCAAGCCCACCUGCAAGCUUCACUGCGCUUCCCUUCUCUACUCUUGCAUUCAUUCCUCGAUCGCAUACCACAAUUUUCCCCUUAACUUUUGAUGGACUUAGACUCCCCAUAAAGCAAUAUUUACUUCCACAAUCACCAGCAUACACCAAAGGCAGCUUGUCAUCCACUAGCGGCUCACCAGAGUAGAGCGAUACCCCACCAAAAAUCCUUCCAUCGCCUAGCACAACAUCAGCUGGAAACUCUCUGUCAAUGGUAGAAGCACCAACGGUGAGAAUCCAAGGUGCGAUAUUAACGGCCGUAAAAGGAUCUGGCCCUGAAUUCCCAGCAGAGCAAGAAACAACAAUUCCAUGUUGGUUUGCUCCAAAUGCCCCAAUCGCUAUCGAAUCAUGAUCAUAUUGAGGAGCAUAACCGGUGGCACCAACUGAUAAUGAAAUCACAUGGACACCAUCUGCAAUGGCUUGAUCCAUAGCGGCAAGAAUGUCAGAGUCAAAGCAACCCAGACUCCAGCAAAUCUUAUAUGCAGCAAUUCUUGCCUUUGAGGCCAUACCACGAGCUUCUCCAGGUGCGUAUUCGUAAAAGCUCGCGUUAUGGACGAAGGACCCAGCUGCAGUGGAUGCGGUAUGGGUGCCAUGACCUUCUGUAUCUCGGGGUGAAGCUGAAUCUCUUGAUCCAUCAUUGGGUUUCCCUUGAUAGGACACAUACCCUUUAAAGAAGGCUCUUGCACCGAUGAGUUUCCGGUUACAAGCAGAAGCAGGAAAAUCCGACGAUGUCUCGCAGAUACCUUUCCAAUUAUCCGGAACAGGAGACAGACCAGAGUCCGAGAAGCUCGGGUGUUCAGGCCAUAUUCCAGUGUCCAGAACACCAAUAAUCACGUCUUCACCAUAAGCACCAUUUGGCCAAAGGCCAGACCCAGUAGAAAGGCCUAAAAAGUGAGGAGUGCGGGUGGUGUGGAGCUGGCGAAUCUGGUC